UACGGGGGGGGGGCAAGCGUUGUUCGGAAUUACUGGGCGUAAAGGGCUCGUAGGUGGCCAACUAAGUCAGACGUGAAAAUCCCUCGGCUUAACCGGGGGAACUGCAUCUGAUACUGGAUGGCUUGAGUUUUGGGAGAGGGAUGCGGAAUUCCUGGUGUAGCGGUGAAAAUGCGCAGAUAUCAGGAGGAACACCGGUGGCGAAGGCGGGUCUCUGGGCCGUAACUGACGCUGAGGAGCGAAAGCGUGGGGAGCAAACAGG
rnacentral:rRNA from 1 species